AUGCGGACAGCGCGCGGGGUGUGCUUGUUGGGCGUGGCCCCAGAGUCUCGGCGACCGUCCAUCGGGCAAGGUACCCCGACCCGUCCGGAGGCGUGGGCGGUGCUGCGGCGCGCGAGGUCGAGCCCGGUGUGCCGGUGCCUGACGGGGACUGUGCGCAAGUUGGGCUGCCGGCUGGCUCUGACCUCUUUGCCGCCGGAGGUGCUUGACGUGAGGUGGGAUGUGGUCGUCGGCGGCGGGCCGAGCAGGGCAGGUCCCGGGGAGCCGGGGCGGAUGGGCGCCAUAUACACGACGACCGCACUCGCGCCCGCGGGGGGCGAAGCGGUGGACGUGGCGGUGCACGAGAUGAACCGGACGACGGGAAGAUCUGAUGCCACAACCAGUCUUCUCUACCGAGCGGCGCCAUGGCUGUCGGCCGACGAGCGCCUCACCGCGGCUGCUGGCCAACAAGGAAAAGGGGAGCACGGGUGCUAG
rnacentral:rRNA from 1 species